GUCUCCGCUCCGGCCGCACGCUGCGGGCCGGGAGGCCCCGACGACGGCGGCGGCGGCGGCGGCUUCACUCCCGGCGGCGCGAUGGUGUCCCGGCUUCGCCCCCCCGGGCAAAGGGCAUCCUCGGGCGGGCCGCCUGUGGGGUGGAAAAUGGCAGCUGCCCACCAGCACACCGCGGCAGUUCUCCUGGCCAGAGCCAGGUGAAAGGGGAGGAAGGCCAUACCGCCCUCAAAGGUCACUGGCUGUAGGUGAACUUAAGGCAUUCUCCUGAAGCCCACCAAGUUCUGCAUCUUCUGGAGCUCAAGGGAAGGAAAAAGCUCAGGCAUCUGCUUCCUCAGUUCAGUAACCAACAGAUGACCCUCAACUGGGUUUUGCCAUACCAAGCACCUAUAUAACACUUUUUUUUAAAAACUGGCCUUUUUACCAGCUAAUAUAAGACAUCAACAGUCUUACAUACCCAGUAAAAUGUACUACA
rnacentral:lncRNA from 1 species